GCCGGGCAUGGUGGCUCAUGCCUGUAAUCCUAGCACUUUGGGAGGCUGAGGCGGGUGGAUCACCUGAGGUCAGGGGUUCGAGACCAGCCUGGCCAACAUGGAGAAACCCCGUCUCUA
ensembl:misc_RNA Metazoa_SRP Metazoan signal recognition particle RNA